CAGAGAAAGCAUUCUAGUAACUCUUUCCUGGCUCGUGGUGGUUUUGAACGGAAGUAAAUAAUUCCCCCUUUAACAAUCUCAAAGAAAAUACCUGUGAGAGGUUGUGCAGCCCUUAAUGUGCCACCAGCUCCUCCACCAGCUGGGUUUCUGGGCUGCUUGAGGAAAGGGCCUAAAGAAGGAAUCAGCCCGAAUAUGCAUUAAGAUGACGCAUGCAGAAAAAAGAUGAAUGCUGCCUUAGAAACCUCUGAAUUCUCAGCGCUGGAAUUCCUCCCAAGCCUUUUCAAGCCAACCAUGUCAUGGAAAUGGCUGCCAGUGAUUUAUCCAGAGCUUGGCACGAGUCCUUGGCUGGGUGGGGAGGAAGAGUUUGGCCAACAGAAGUCAACCAACUCAGAAUUGCGAGCAUCUGUGAAACUGGACCAAAUUAAAUUUCUUUGGUUCUUAUUGAUGCAACCUUGACCAGGCUUAUAGGAGUUUUUAUCAGCACGAAGACUUUCAAAGUGUCAAGCAUUAUAAAGAUGCAGGAGUGCACACUGACAGCCAGGCAGCUCUCCAGAGGAUCACUCAUCCUUUCCCAGCCACUGAUCUCACUUCUGGACAAAUUCUUCCCUGGACAAGCCUAUUGUGCAUUCUUGGGCGUUGAAGGAGCCUAGGUGACUAAGAUUGAAUCUGUUGAUUUUAGGUAGGAUUAAUAAAGGCUUAUAUUUGGGUUUAUUCAUAUGUAAAGUCAGAUAAUUGUACUUCAUGAGUCUACUGAAUGGACUCAGACUUUUCUUGGUUUUGGAAAUGAUCUGUGAAAUGGCAAUGAACAAAAGAGCCUCCCAGUAAAAUAAACAGCUUGUGCCUUCUACUAUGCAAAAAUUUCUGUCCAAUUAAUGGAACAAUAUGGCAUGGCUCUCCAGGCUGGAGCAAGUUUGGAAAAAGUGUAUUAGGUGAGAUUAGUUUCCUUUCCUCUUUGUGGGAUCCUUCAGGCCACGAAAACAAGGUUACUUUAGUGUAAUUAACCUUUAAGAAGCUUGGUUUGUUUGCAUGAGUUGAACUCUGUCCUGCAUUGCUGUAUGUGAGAAGUUUUCUUCAUCUGAAAUGUACUUCCUAAAAAUCCAAUAUCCCUUUUUUUUCCCUAGGAAAAUUGCAAAAUCAAGCAGGAAGGAUUUAUGGAUGGCCAGGGGAGGGAAAAUAAAAUUGAUCAUGAAAAAAGGAGGGAUAAUGAGAUGAGAAUCAUUCCUGCUGUUAUGGGUUCAGCAUAAAAACUUGUGCAGUCAUGUGGUGUUGAUAUCAAAUUGAAAGGAGAGCUAUUUAUUGAAAAUCUGUGAACAAAAAGAGUUUUGGCUGUCAUUUUACAUGGAAAAAUGUUGCAACAUGUAAAAAGAGCUAUAUAAGUUCAUAAGUAAAUGUGUGUCUAAGAAUUGUCAUAACUCCACCUGACAGGAGUUUCAUUUUUCAUAUUUGUUACUUCUUUGGAUAAUGGAAGAUAACAAAUAUGUUUCUGAAAUUUGGAAAUAAGCUAUGCUUUUCACCAGCUAUCCUUAUUAAAACAUGCUUUUUUGGAUAUAGUAGAAGGGUGAACAUAAAGUCUUCUCAUUUAAUAUUGAAAUGUGCUGAAUAAAGUCAACUGGAAAAUCCCAUCCCUGUACAUUAUCAGUGUUUUUAGAUUUCUUUUGUGAAAGUCAUCCUAGCAAGCAGUUGAUCCCAGGAGAAAGAUCAGAAUCUUAAAUGGGCAGAAAAAUAAAAGAGCACUGAUCACAUGAAUAUUUAUGAGAAUUAUGAUUAGAGACAGCUUUUAGCUACAAAAAUUACGUCUGGAUUCAAAUUUACUAAAAAUUUAUAGAUGUUUCUCAAGGUAUUCCUGAAUUAACACUUAACAGGCCAGAUCAUUGUUGUAAAGUUGAAAGUCUUGUAGAGACUAUUUCACUUUCUGUUUUAUUAGACUGGGUUCAAGAUUUCUCCCAAUCCAUAUGGGCAGCCUGAGUCCAUAGGAACAGUGAGGGAUCAAAGAUCUGAGUAGUCAAAUAUUCAACUUGCUCUCUCUAACUUGGAAAAACUGGCCUCUGAGUAAUGCAGCAGCCUUUCAAGUCUUAGUUUGGGGUAUCUCAAAGAUCAGAUUUUUUAUUUUUUGCUGCUCCUCUGGAAAUUUUGAAAAUAGUAUAGACCCUGUAUUUCCAGUCUGUUGCAUCUCAUGAGAUAAUAUUUGGCUUCUAUGCAUUG